ACGAACGCUGGCGGCGUGCCUAACACAUGCAAGUCGAACGGAGAUAUGAUUUCGGUUAUAUCUUAGUGGCGAACGGGUGAGUAACGCGUGAGCAACCUGACCUUCAGAGGGGGAUAACAUUUGGAAACAGAUGCUAAUACCGCAUAAGACCACGACCCGACAUCGGGACGAGGUCAAAGGAGCAAUCCGCUGAGGGAGGGGCUCGCGUCCCAUUAGAUAGAUGGCGGGGUAACGGCCCACCAUGUCAGCGAUGGGUAGCCGAGCUGAGAGGCUGAUCGGCCACACUGGAACUGAGACACGGUCCAGACUCCUACGGGAGGCAGCAGUGGGGAAUAUUGGGCAAUGGGCGCAAGCCUGACCCAGCAACGCCGCGUGAGGGAAGAAGGCUUUCGGGUUGUAAACCUCUGUCCUUGGUGAAGAAAAAAAUGACGGUAGCCAAGGAGGAAGCCCCGGCUAACUACGU
rnacentral:rRNA from 1 species